GAUCAUGGCUCAGAUUGAACGCUGGCGGCAGGCCUAACACAUGCAAGUCGAGCGGAUGAAGAGAGCUUGCUCUCUGAUUCAGCGGCGGACGGGUGAGUAAUGCCUAGGAAUCUGCCUGAUAGUGGGGGACAACGUUCCGAAAGGAACGCUAAUACCGCAUACGUCCUACGGGAGAAAGCAGGGGACCUCGGGCCGUUGCGCUAUCAGAUGAGCCUAGGUCGGGAUUAG
rnacentral:rRNA from 1 species